GAUGAACGCUGGCGGCGUGCCUAACACAUGCAAGUCGAACGGGGUUAAAGAGAAAUUUUCGGAUGGAUCUUUAACUUAGUGGCGGACGGGUGAGUAACGCGUGGGUAACCUGCCUUAUCCAGGGGGGAUAACAGUGAGAAAUUACUGCUAAUACCGCAUAAGCGCACAGUUUCGCAUGAAACAGUGUGAAAAGAUUUAUCGGGAUAAGAUGGACCCGCGUCUGAUUAGCUAGUUGGUGAGGUAACGGCCCACCAAGGCGACGAUCAGUAGCCGGCCUGAGAGGGUGAACGGCCACAUUGGGACUGAGACACGGCCCAAACUCC
rnacentral:rRNA from 1 species